UUACGGAAGGCAGCAGUGGGGAAUAUUGGACAAUGGGCGAAAGCCUGAUCCAGCCAUGCCGCGUGUGUGAAGAAGGCCUUCGGGUUGUAAAGCACUUUAAGCGGGGAGGAAGGCCUUGAGACUAAUACUCUUGAGGAUUGACGUUACCCGCAGAAUAAGCACCGGCUAACUCUGUGCCAGCAGCCGCGGUAAUACAGAGGGUGCAAGCGUUAAUCGGAAUUACUGGGCGUAAAGCGCGCGUAGGCGGUUUGUUAAGUCGGAUGUGAAAUCCCCGGGCUCAACCUGGGCACGGCAUCCGAUACUGGCUGACUAGAGUGUGGGAGAGGAAGGUAGAAUUCCAGGUGUAGCGGUGAAAUGCGUAGAGAUCUGGAGGAAUACCGAUGGCGAAGGCAGCCUUCUGGCCUAACACUGACGCUGAGGUGCGAAAGCAUGGGGAGCAAACAGGAUUAGAUACCCUGGUAGC
rnacentral:rRNA from 1 species